rnacentral:rRNA from 1 species
AGAGUUUGAUCCUGGCUCAGAUUGAACGCUGGCGGCAUGCCUUACACAUGCAAGUCGAACGGCAGCGCGGACUUCGGUCUGGCGGCGAGUGGCGAACGGGUGAGUAAUACAUCGGAACGUACCCUGUUGUGGGGGAUAACUAGUCGAAAGAUUAGCUAAUACCGCAUACGACCUGAGGGUGAAAGUGGGGGACCGCAAGGCCUCACGCAGCAGGAGCGGCCGAUGUCUGAUUAGCUAGUUGGUGGGGUAAAGGCCCACCAAGGCGACGAUCAGUAGCUGGUCUGAGAGGACGAUCAGCCACACUGGGACCGAGACACGGCCCAGACUCCUACGGGAGGCAGCAGUGGGGAAUUUUGGACAAUGGGGGCAACCCUGAUCCAGCAAUGCCGCGUGUGUGAAGAAGGCCUUCGGGUUGUAAAGCACUUUUGUCCGGAAAGAAAUCGCUCUGGUUAAUACCUGGGGUGGAUGACGGUACCGGAAGAAUAAGCACCGGCUAACUACGUGCCAGCAGCCGCGGUAAUACGUAGGGUGCGAGCGUUAAUCGGAAUUACUGGGCGUAAAGCGUGCGCA